GUAGGUGAACCUGCGGAGGGAUCAUUACUGAGUGAGGGCCCCCCGGCCCGACCUCCAACCCUUUGUGAUACCACUAUGUUGCCUCGGGGGCGACCCGGCCUUCGGGCGCGGGGCCCCCGGUGGACCCCCCAACGCUGCAUCUUUGCGUCUGAGUACAAAUAUAAAUCAAUCAAAACUUUCAACAACGGAUCUCUUGGUUCUG
rnacentral:misc_RNA from 1 species